rnacentral:misc_RNA from 1 species
GUUCUUUCAAAAGCAAAAGAAAAAUAGUUUGAUUCAAUAUUAAUUAUUUGAUGCACACAUUAAAUAUUAUAACACUUUCCCCUUUCGCAAAAUGCAUAGAAAUCAAGAAGGUGCUAAAAAUUAUUGUAUUAAGCAACAAAACUUUGGUAAGUUCUCUAGACAAUUCUAUGCAUGCAAGAAAAGUUAAAUCAAGAAACAAAAUAUGGGGGAUUAAAUU